rnacentral:misc_RNA from 1 species
AUCUGUGCUUUUGCUUUGGCAGCGGGCGGUAUUGAAUCAAAGAACCAAAGUUAUUUGAUAUUACUUUUAUUAUUUUUGUUUUCAGCAAUGUUAAUGUUUAUUUUACAAAAGAACAAACUUGAAAACAGGGCGAAGGGUUCUGUUAUGGUUGUCUGUUGUUAAAAUGCCUUUGGUUUGAGGAAACAAUGAACGACAGCGCUGCCGAUUGCUCGGAAGCUUUAGAUCCUCGAGUUCAGAUAGAGUUGGAACGUCUAAACACAGCCACUGACGAGAUCAACAGGCUCGAGGUUGAGUUGGACGAGGCUCGGCUGGCGUUCCGGAGACUGCUCGCUGAAGGCCACCUGCGGAUACAGCAGCUCACCAAAAAGUUGGGCACUAGUGUGCACAAAGCCAGGCCUUAUUAUGAAGCUAGAUUUCGAGCUAAUAUUACUUCCCAAGACCUGCAAGCUGCAACCAUCGCGUAUGACAAAGCGAACAGUGCUCACGCAGCAGCCAGGGAGAUGGUGUAUCUCGCUGAGCAGGGCUUGGCUAGACUCGCUGAGGGCAACACGGGGCUUACACUCGACCCGGCCUGGCAGGAGAUGCUUAACCAUGCCACGCAUAGAGUUAAUCAGGCGGAGAGCGACCGCGCCCACGCGACGGUGACGCAGCGCUCGAAGGCGGCCGCGCACCGCGCCGCCACCACGCUCGUGCAACAACUGCAGAACGGACUCAAGAGGCACAUCGCUAAAUCCAGACCCUACUUCGAAGAGAAAGCUCGCAUCAACACGGCUUUGGAAGCUCAGAAGGCAAGGAUACAGACCUUGGAGGAACAGGUAGCGGAAGCUAAGCAGCAGUACUCGUCAGCUCUCAGGAAUCUGGAGAGGAUCUCUGAUGAAAUACAUAAGCAUAGGUCUAGAAGACAGUCGGCUAGAAACGAAAUAGACCGUUCAACACUAACGGACACGGCCAGCGAUACAAACACGACCAGUAGUGACAAACUGGAAGAGCUAUGCGAGAGCAGCACGGACGCCAGUGUGCGCGAGUGGCUGCGUCGGGCCGCCGACGCGCAGCGGCCCCGGGGCCCCGACACAGACACCUGGACAGAGAUAGACCUGGACUACUCCAGCCCUGAGGAGGUGAGUUUCGAGAAGUGUUCCCUCCGCGGCCGCGACACUUCUGAAGCGUGGUCUCCGCCGUCUCCGGGCUCGUCGCGAGCGUCGGCCGCCGAGCCGCGCCGCAUCAUCCCGCGCCAGCCGCGCCCGCCGCGCCGCCAGAGCCUCGACGCGCUGCUGCACGACACCCAGGAGAAGGUCAAGGAGAUGUUCCAAGGGUUAUCACUAUUCGGUGAACGUCGUGGGUCGGCGUCUGCCCCCCGCACCCCGCGCCGGGCGCCCUCCCCUCGAGCUGCUUCACAUACCAGCGACGAGCGAUACUCCGAUACUGAUAGCCGCGCCAGCGUGGAGAUGCUAACAGACGAACAGAUAGCGUCCCUCAUGCUGGACGCCCAACUAGAAGCCGUCUGCGAGCGUCUAGCGGGGGUCGUCCGUCAGCCACGCUCCCCACACUCGCCCCCCCACCGGUACUGAUGUGUAUGUCUGUUUAUACCUAGCUUUGUGUAACGUGCAUAGCGUCCGUCAUGCUGGACGCUCGUCUAGCGGGGGUCGUCCGUCAGCCACGCUCCCCACACUCGCCCCCCCACCGGUACUGAUGUGUAUGUCUGUUUAUACCUAGCUUUGUGUAACGUGCAUAGCGUCCGUCAUGCUGGACGCUCGUCUAGCGGGGGUCGUCCGUCAGCCACGCUCCCCACACUCGCCCCCCCACCGGUACUGAUGUGUAUGUCUGUUUAUACCUAGCUUUGUGUAACGUGCAUAGCGUCCGUCAUGCUGGACGCUCGUCUAGCGGGGGUCGUCCGUCAGCCACGCUCCCCACACUCGCCCCCCCACCGGUACUGAUGUGUAUGUCUGUUUAUACCUAGCUUUGUGUAACGUGCAUAGCGUCCGUCAUGCUGGACGCUCGUCUAGCGGGGGUCGUCCGUCAGCCACGCUCCCCACACUCGCCCCCCCACCGGUCAUCGGUCCAGUGAAAAAUAAUAAUAUUUAAUACCAAUAAUAAUCACAUUUCUGUUGAAAACUUACGCUUAGUUUAAACUAAAGUACAUCGAUAAAUGCAUUCCGUUACACGUAAAUUGUGGCACUAACAUAGCUUGUCAUGCUCUCUCAAAACGGCUGUGCCGAUACUCGUGAAUUUUUGCCUUGAAUUUAGUGAGUAAUAAUGCAAUGUACAAGAUUAGUUUAUUUAUUAAGAUUUUUUUAUAAUGUGAAAUAUAUGCAAUAAGUUAUUUAAGUAUUAUUUUUUAUAUAUUUAGGUUUAAGAUUCAAAUAAAUCUCAUUUUUUACAAUAUUUUGAAAAAUAAUAACAUAAUAGAUGUUUUGUAAAAAUGUGUUAGUGCCAUAAUAAAGAAUACAUAAGGUCGAAAUAAUUCAAUAACCGAAUUUGUUUUUACAACGUUAACAUGUUUUUACGCAUAACUAUAAAACGGCUGAGCCGAUAUAGAUGUGUAAUUAGGAAGAUAGAGGGGAUCUUCCAAGUUGUUCACUCACUACUAUAUUAUUUCUUCAUUCUAUAGACAAAUAAAGCCGUUUUGGCUGAAAAACAUUAACACCAACACAAACCAUUACUAGUCUAUAAUCGCCUAAUCGCGAUUCAGGUUAAGCAAAAAAUAAUAAAUAAAUAAUAAUAAUGGACUUCUUAUGUGUUGGCGUAUUUCAAUACAUAAAAGAAAAAAAUCAUAAUUUUUUACGAUACCAAUACAAGUUUGAAUAAAAAUUUAAGCCUAGACUCUACCAAAGCGGGUCGUAGCUCAGAAUAUGUGUACAACCAAUAGAACUUCGUUAUUGCUUCACUUUGGUGAAGACUAAGCCUUAUAAACGGGAAACGAUUUGCUGGACUUACUAAUAUAAUUUUUUGACUUUUACAUUAUUAACAUUAUUAUGUCUCAUUAAAUGUGAAAAUACUAUACGUAAAAAUACAUUAUAUUUUGUAUUUAGGAACCUUUCAAUAAACCAAGUUUAAUAUUCACUUCUUAAGAGAAUUCUGUAUUUACGUUAAAAGUUCGUUAACACAUAAGAAGUCUUACGGUUGAUUUCUAUAACCUAUCUAUCCACUGUUUUUCGAUAGGAGACUGAAUUUUGAAAUAAGCUUCACAUAAAUUAUCAGCCUUACUUAUAAAAGUCAACUAAUCACCUUCUAAGCAUCAUUUUAACUAUUUACUACUUAAAACCUUAAGUAGUUAUUAAAUAUUUGGGUUCCUUAAUUAAGACAUGCUUAAGCAAUGAUUAUAAAUAAGAUUUUUUCUUAAACAGCCCUUAAGUAUUACUUAUUAUUUAAUUCACGUUAAGGCUGUAUGUAUUUCAAUCUGUAAUCGAAAAACAAUGAAUGGAUCGAUUAUUGCAAUCCGCAGUUAGUUAAUUAUACCGAGAUCGAUAUUUUACUAUACAUUGACAUGUAGCUACUCAAAUAAAAACGCUUACUCGUCGAUUAGUACACAUAUCAGUAUAGAAUAUGUAUUUAUUGGGCGACUUACGUAAACUAUAAAACCAUUAUUUUUAUUAACUUUGGCCUUUAUUACCAUAAUUUCAAUUUUUUUACAAUGAGGAACUCUUGUUUAUCAGAUAUCUUAUUAUAAAAUUAAUUGUAAAACUUAAAGAAUUGCUUACUAAAAUCUGACUUUCCUACGAUUACAAAAGUCCAGGACGAAAGGAUUGCGUGAGAUUUUGUUUUUUACAGUUUUACAACGACGAUGAUUUGUAAAACAGUCAACGGAUUUGUAAAAUAGUUUGCAUUUUUGUAAAAUUAGUUUUAACUAUUCGGCGGUGAACGCACAAAUACAGACCGCAAGUAAACAAAUUAAUUUUAACAUAGAAAGUAUUCGAAAAAUAUUUCUUAUUUAAUAUAUUUUUAUUUCAUAAAUCUCGCCCAAUAAAUACUGAAAACUCAAUUAAAAUAAAUUUAAUUUCGUACAAAAGUACAGUUAUUUAAUUUAGAACAAAGAUAAACAAUAUUCUUGUCGACUUAUUACUAAAAUGCGUAAUUUUAAGCGUUCGUGAUGUCGAAGGGAGGAGAUAUGUCAACUAUGUAUGAGUAAUUCUUGCCUUAUUUUAACCGACUUUUUAAAAAUUUUGUAUUUCUAUGUAAAAAUUGUGCUAUCUAUUAUUUGCGCACACGCAGAGGUUUUGAAAAAAUUACAUAAUACUUUUUUUUAGUUAUGCCCCGUGUAAAUGUAUAAUUUAAAUAAAGUUACACGUUGAUCUGAAAACCAUAUAAAAUUAAUCCAAAAGAAUUUUACAUCUUUUAAAAUUGCGUAAUAAGGUCACCUUUACACUUGUAACUUUUACUCAAAUAAUUAACUUACUAUAAACUUACAUAUGUAAAACCGUAAGUCGCUGACAGUGACUUACGGUUACGGAAGGCAACUUCCGUAACUUACAGAAUCGACUUAGAAGAGUAAAGUCGGACUAAAAUUUUUCUACGGCUCAAAAAUAUGUCAAUUGAUAGUAGCCAAUGAAUUUUGAUCCUUGUCUCCUCCCAGCCUUAGGUAAGUAGUGCAAUGUUGAAAGUUCGCAAUAAGUAAGAUAAUAAUCGUUCUAGAAAUAAGCGUUUGCCUAAUACUUGCCUAUGAAUUGUCGUAGAACAUUUAGACUUGCGAGUAGGUGAAUGAAUGAUUGAAUGAUUCAGUGUUAAAGGGAAUUUUAGGGUUUAUUUUCAAAAUA